CAGGAAAGCGGAAGCCGGGAAUGGAAUGCCCGGUGCAAGCGGGGUACCAGUCACUCUGGCAAAUCCGGGUGGCAAUGGGAAGCCGUGAUGCGGAGCGAAAUAAAGUAGCGAAGUCCGUGAGCCAUGCGUCAAGAAAAGCCGCUAUCGUUUAUACCGUACCCGUACCGUAAACCGACACAGGUGGAUGAGGAGAGAAUCCUAAGGCCGGCGGAAGAAGCAUUGUCAAGGAACUCGGCAAAAUGGCCCCGUAACUUAGGGAUAAGGGGUGCCUGGGAAACCAGGCCGCAGAGAAUAGGCUCAAGCAACUGUUUAGCAAAAACACAGGUCUAUGCGAAACCGAAAGGUGAGGUAUAUGGGCUGACGCCUGCCCGGUGCUGGAAGGUUAAGAGGAGAGGUUAGCGCAAGCGAAGCUUUGAAUUUAAGCCCCAGUAAACGGCGGCCGUAACUAUAACGGUCCUAAGGUAGCGAAAUUCCUUGUCGGGUAAGUUCCGACCCGCACGAAAGGCGUAAUGAUUUGAGCGCUGUCUCGACAAUGCAUCCGGUGAAAUUGAAGUACCAGUGAAGAUGCUGGUUACCUGCGCCAGGACGGAAAGACCCCAUGGAGCUUUACUCCAGUUUGGUACUGGGACUCGGUAUUGCAUGUACAGGAUAGGUGGGAGGCUAGGAGAUAGUAACGCCAGUUAUUAUGGAGCCGCUGGUGGGAUACCACCCUUGCAGUAUUGGGUUUCUAACCAGCCGCCGUGACCCGGCGGUGGGACAAUGCCAGACGGGGAGUUUGACUGGGGCGGUCGCCUCCGAAAGGGUAUCGGAGGCGCCCAAAGGUUCCCUCAGAAUGGACGGAAACCAUUCGAAGAAUGCAAAGGCAGAAGGGAGCUUGACUGCGACACCGACGGGUGGAGCAGGUACGAAAGUAGGGCUUAGUGAUCCGGUGGUAUUAAGUGGGAAUGCCAUCGCUCAACGGAUAAAAGCUACCCUGGGAUAACAGGCUUAUCACUCCCAAGAGUUCACAUCGACGGAGUGGUUUGGCACCUCGAUGUCGGCUCAUCGCAUCCUGGGGCUGUAGUAGGUCCCAAGGGUUGGGCUGUUCGCCCAUUAAAGCGGUACGCGAGCUGGGUUCAGAACGUCGUGAGACAGUUCGGUCCCUAUCCGGCGUGGGCGUAGGAUAUCUGAGAGGAGCUGUCCUUAGUACGAGAGGACCGGGAUGGACGGGCCGCUGGUGCAUCGGUUAGACUGCCAAGUCUACGGCCGAGUAGCCAAGCCCGGAAGGGAUAAACGCUGAAGGCAUCUAAGCGUGAAGCCCCCCUUAAGAUGAGAUAUCCCAUUCGAAAGAAGUAAACCCCCUUGAAGACGACGAGGUAGAUAGGGCAGAGGUGGAAGUGUGGCAACACAUGGAGCUGACUGUUACUAAUCGGGUGAGGGCUUGACC
rnacentral:rRNA from 1 species